GGGGGGGUAACCCCAAGUGGUGAAGGGGGGGUUUUUUGGUCUGUUACUCUGACGCUUUAGGCGUGAAAGCAUGGGGCAGCAAAACAGGAUUAGGAUACCCUGGGUUGUUCCACGCCGUUAAACGAUAUUCGCUCAAGUGUUAGAAGGGGUUUCCGCCCCUUUAUUUCUCCAGCUAAUGCCUUUAAAGCUCUCCCGCCUGGGAGUACGGUUGCCAAGACUGGAACUCAAAAGGAAAUUUUACGAGGGCCCGCCAAGCGCGUGGAGCCAUGUGGCUUAAUUUGAAAGCAACGCGAAAGAAACCUUACCAGGUCUUUGACUUCCUCUGACCACUCCAGAGAUAGCGCGUUUCCUUCGGGGGACAGAGUGACAGGUGGUGCAUGGUUGUAGUCAGCUCGUGUCGUCAGAUGUUGGGUUAAGUCCCGCAACGAGCGCAACCCUUGAUCUUAGUUGCCAGCAUUUAGUUGGGCACUCUUAGGUGACUGCCGGUGACAAACCGGAGGAAGGUGGGGAUGAAGUCAAAUCAUCAUGCCCCUUAUGACCUGGGCUACACACGUGCUACAAUGGAUGGUACAAAGCGCUGCAUGACCGCGAGUCAAGCCUUUCCCAUAAAACCAUUCUCAGUUCGGAUUGUAGGCUGCAACUCGCCUACAUGAAGCUGGAAUCGCUUGUAAUCGUGAUCAGCACUUGCUUUGAAUACGUUCCCGGGCCUAGUACACGCCGCCCGUCCCUCCACGAGAGUUUGUAUCACCUGUAACUCGGUGGAGUAUAUAGUUGUGUACACAAGUUUACCUUUUUUAUUA
rnacentral:rRNA from 1 species